AGAGUUUGAUCCUGGCUCAGGAUGAACGCUGGCGGCGUGCCUAAUACAUGCAAGUCGAGCGAAUGAAGAGGAGCUUGCUCCUCUGAUUUAGCGGCGGACGGGUGAGUAACACGUGGGUAAUCUGCCUGUAAGACGGGGAUAACUCCGGGAAACCGGGGCUAAUACCGGAUAACAAGAGAAGAAGCAUUUCUUCUUUUUGAAAGUCGGUUUCGGCUGACACUUACAGAUGAGCCCGCGGCGCAUUAGCUAGUUGGUGAGGUAACGGCUCACCAAGGCGACGAUGCGUAGCCGACCUGAGAGGGUGAUCGGCCACACUGGGACUGAGACACGGCCCAGACUCCUACGGGAGGCAGCAGUAGGGAAUCUUCGGCAAUGGGCGAAAGCCUGACCGAGCAACGCCGCGUGAGCGAUGAAGGCCUUCGGGUCGUAAAGCUCUGUUGUUAGAGAAGAACAAGUACGAGAGUAACUGCUCGUACCUUGACGGUACCUAACCAGAAAGCCACGGCUAACUACGUGCCAGCAGCCGCGGUAAUACGUAGGUGGCAAGCGUUGUCCGGAAUUAUUGGGCGUAAAGCGCUCGCAGGCGGUCUCUUAAGUCUGAUGUGAAAGCCCACGGCUCAACCGUGGAGGGUCAUUGGAAACUGGGAGACUUGAGUGCAGGAGAGAAAAGAAGAGGAGAGUGGAAUUCCACGUGUAGCGGUGAAAUGCGUAGAGAUGUGGAGGAACACCAGUGGCGAAGGCGACUCUCUGGUCUGUAACUGACGCUGAGGAGCGAAAGCGUGGGGAGCGAACAGGAUUAGAUACCCUGGUAGUCCACGCCGUAAACGAUGAGUGCUAGGUGUUGGGGGGUUCCACCCUCAGUGCUGAAGUUAACGCAUUAAGCACUCCGCCUGGGGAGUACGGCCGCAAGGCUGAAACUCAAAAGAAUUGACGGGGGCCCGCACAAGCGGUGGAGCAUGGUGGUUUAAUUCGAAGCAACGCGAAGAACCUUACCAGGUCUUGACAUCCUCUGACCACUCUAGAGAUAGAGCUUUCUCUUUCUGGGGACAGAAUGACAGGUGGUGCAUGGGUG
rnacentral:rRNA from 1 species